rnacentral:rRNA from 1 species
AUGCAGGAUGAAUACACCGCGCUCAUGACGAACAGGACCUGGACGCUCGUGCCACGGCCCCGAGGUGCCAACAUUGUCACGGGAAAGUGGUUGUUCCGGCACAAACUCAUAGCAGAUGGGAGCCUCGAUCGCUACAAGGUGCGAUGGGUCGUGCGCGGGUUCUCACAACGACCUGGUGUGGACUUUGAUGAGACAUUCUCGCCCGUGGUUAAAGCAGCUACCAUCCAUGCCGUCCUCACCGUCGCCGCCGCGCGCGACUGGCACGUGCACCAAAUGGACGUGAACAACGCGUUCUUGCAUGGCCAGCUUGCCGAGCGCGUGUACUGCCAGCAGCCGGCGGGGUUCGUCGACAAGCUUCACCCUGACCAUGUCUGCCUCCUCGACAAGUCACUGUACGGGCUCAAGCAGGCCCCCCGCGCCUGGUUCGCGCGGUUC